UACGGAGGGUGCAAGCGUUGUUCGGAAUUACUGGGCGUAAAGGGCGCGUAGGCGGUCUGUUAAGUUCGGUGUGAAAGCCCCCGGCUCACCUGGGGAACUGCGCCGGAAACCGACAGACUCGAGUACCGGAGAGGAGGGUGGAAUUCCUGGUGUAGCGGUGAAAUGCGUAGAUAUCAGGAGGAACACCGGUGGCGAAGGCGGCCCUCUGGACGGAAACUGACGCUGAGGCGCGAAAGCGUGGGGAUCAAACAGG
rnacentral:rRNA from 1 species